GUGCAGCCAAACGCUGUAGUCCCAGCGGCGGAACUCGGGAGGGGGAUGCCCAACCAGCCAGUCAGCAGUGACGUCCCGCCUUUCCUCCGUUUCCAUUGGUCCAGCCACGCGGAGGCCGCGCCCAUGGGACGCCGAGCUUCCGGCUACCGGGCUUGGCGCCCGGGCGCUUUCGGAUUGGGAGGGCUUCCUCCAUGGAACGCGAGCCUCGAGACGUCUGACGUUAGGCACCGUUCGCAGCGCCUCGGGCUCGCACGGCAGGAUCGAAGAUUGGCUGGCGGCUGCUGUGGUCUCGGGCACCGCCCAGUCGCGGGACGCUGCCUCUGCGGAACUGGGGGUGGGGCGUGUUGACCCCCUUAAAGGCGCCAGAGCCCGCGGUCACGGCUCAGGUUCCCGGUGCUUCUAGGCUGUUUGUCCUGUUGCUUCAGGCCUAAAUUUGGAUAGUGUGUUACUGUGCUGAAUAAUGUGGGCAGUUGUAGAAACUUCAGCAUCCUCAAAUUUUGGUAGCUGUGGGAGGUCCUGGAACCAACUCCCAUAUAUACCAAAGAAUGACUGUAUGUAAAACUAGCCUAUAGAAGUUGGAAAUCUUUCUAAAAUUGAGGCUAACUCUGAAGUUGACUUCCUUUUCACAUUAUUUUCCCUCUUGAUUUGUUUUAAUCAUUAACCUUAUUUCAGAUUUUUUGUAUUAGAUAUCAAUAUCUCCAUCAUCACUGACUCCUGACACAUGCAUUCACACACACACACACACACACACACACACACACACACACACACACACACACACACACACACCCAGACCCUAUGUGGGUCUAGAACUUUGUAUUAAGUAGCUGUUUAAACACUUUGUGUACAUUCUGCAGUAUGCUUGAAGUCUGUUGAAAGUAUUUCAGUGGUCCACGUGUGGUGGCUCACUCCUGUAAUCUCAACACUUUGGGAGGCCAAAGCAGGCAGAUCUCCUGAGGUUAGGAGUUCGAGAUCAGCAUGGCCAGCAUGGCAAAACCUCGUCUCUACUAAAAAUACAAAAAUUAGCCUGGCGUGGUGAUGCACGCCUGUAGUCCCAGCUACUUGGGAGGUCAAGGCAGGAGCAUCACUUGAACCCAGGAGGUGGGGGUUGUAGUGAGCUGAGAUUGCACCAUUGCAUUCCAGCCUGGGCAACAAAACGAGACUCCCUCUCAGAAACAAAAAAGUAUUCCAGUAAAAUCUAUGUAUUUGAAAUAGAGUCACAUAGAAAGUAGAGCACAUGGGAUCUUCAAAAUAUAUUGGGUAGAAAAAUCAAAAAACAAAAAUUAUAAUUCAUUCAGAAAUUAAGGAGAAGAAAAAAGGGAAUAAAAAACUUCAAGGUCAGACUAUGUAAAGGUGCCCUGAAGGACACAAAGAUAAGAAAGCUUAGACGCUGCUGGAUAUAGAUAUGUAAAAGUGUGAGUCAGAAUACUGAAAGUACCCUAAUAAGUGCUUUACGUUUUAAUCACAUGGGAGGGAUAAAUGGGGGUUCAGAAAAUUAAUGUUUGAUGCACUAAGGUAGGGAUGGGCCACCUAUGGCCUACAGGCCAAAUCUGGCCUGCUGCCUGUUGUUACGUCCUGUGAGCUGAGUGUUUUUCUCAUAUUUAAACGGAUGGAGAAGAAUCAAAAUAUUUUGUGACACAUGAAAAUUAAAUGUAAUUCAGUGUCCAUAAAUAUUUCAGUGUCCAUAAAUAUUGGCACGCACCCACACUCAGUUUACAUACUGCCCAGUUCACUAUUGCCUGUGACUAUUUUAGUGUUACAGAGGCAGAGUUCAUACUCUCUGGCCCUUCACAGAAAAAACUUGCCAAGCACUGCCUUAAAGCAUCUAUUGAAUAUAAUGAAUUAAGUCUUCUCCUGUUUAUCUAGAAUGAUAUCAGCUAAGUACUGUCCUGGGGGAAAUUGACAAAACUCAUACAAAUCAUUUUUCUGAUCAGGAGCUUGGGUUGAGAAAAACUGGAUUAAGUCUUACUGUGACAUUGGUAGAAAGGUUAUUGAAUGUCUGGCACAUGAGUUGUGCCUUGAAAAAAUGGAUUUCAACCAAGAUUGGCCUGUGGCAUUCUUGAGCAACUAUGCGGAGACAGGCAGUGGGAAAAACAAUUCAGGAUGGCAAUGGGAGCACGUUCUAGAGAUUACAGAAGCUGGUGUAGAAAAGCAGGAUGAAAAGUUAGGUUGGGGCCAAAAACCAGAGAAGAAAAGUACACUGGAAAAAGGAUUGAGUAUCAAGUGCUGCAGAGGAUCUCAGAGGUCAAGAAUUUAGAGUGGAACGUUGAGCUUGGCCUUCAGGAGCAUGACUGUGAUAAAAGGCCAGCUGUGAAACCUGUAGGAGAAAUGAUGACCCAGAUAGUGCUGAGCAGCCGGCUGGCAGCGUUCUUGGGGUCCCUGUGGGGAUGCAGAGUGGUACAACUGCAGAUGGGGAAGCAGCAUCAUUAUUAACCUGUGUUUAUAUGACAUUCAGAAAAAUAUGUGAUGGCCUUUCUUUCUCUUUUCCUUUAAUAUUAGUGUUCUAGAACAGAUCAGACAUUUUGUAAUGAUGCCUGAAAUAAACACUAACCACCUCGACAAGCAACAGGUUCAACUCCUGGCAGAGAUGUGUAUCCUUAUUGAUGAAAAUGACAAUAAAAUUGGAGCUGAGACCAAGAAGAAUUGUCACCUGAACGAGAACAUUGAGAAAGGUGCUGCUUUGAAACAGUCUUUCUUGUAAAGCGAUUUGUGUAGGCAUUUCCGAUUUGCUGGGAAGAGCACUCUGUUGAAGGAAGUGCAGUCUUCAAUAAUACCGUAUUUUCUCGUUGGUUCUAGUUCGUUAAAUAGUGUCGUCAUUAGCAUCUGCUUUGCUGUCUUCCUGUUACAGCGAUUUCUCUUCACUUCAUGCCUUUUACUCAGCUUCUUCAGAGUUAUUCUGGAUUCAUAGAAGAGGGACUAGCCCUGACAUACAGCAGCAGCCUAGCCUCUAAUAUUUCUAGAGAGUGGAGAGAGGCGGGCACCAUGCAGGGAAGCAUGUGCCUUCACCACUUUCCGAGAACUGAAUGUC
rnacentral:lncRNA from 1 species